UCCAGAAGAGCUGGAGAGGGACUUGGGACAAGGGAUGGAGGGACAGGACCCAGGGAAUGGCUCCCAGUGCCAGAGGGCAGGGAUGGAUGGGACAUUGGGAAAAAUCCUUCCUGUGGAGACUCUGAGAAGCUGUGGCUGCUCCUGGAUCUCUGGAAGUGUCCAAGGCCAGGCUGGACAGGGUUUGGAGCAUCCUGGGGUAGUGGAAGUUGUCCCUGCCCAAGGCAGGGGGUGAACUUGAUGAUCUUCAUGGUUCCUUACAAUCCAAGUCAUCCUGUGACUCCAUGAAAAUACAGCAACUCAUUUCCUUCAGUACCUGCAACAUGAGUAAUACACCUACUAAGAAAAAACUGUGGUAAUUGUAAUGAUUUUCUGAUAAUGUAUCCUCUCAAGGAUUUUUUGUAGGGCAAGAAAUGAAGAAAUAUUUAUUCUUGCUCCAUAGAACUGAAUUAAAACCUUGUCAUUACCACCUGUGAGAGGACAGAACCCCAGUUGCUCUGAGACUACACAAAUUUCCAUCAUUUCACUCGGAAAAAUUUCUGAUAGUUGGGCAAAACUUUCUUAGAAAAAGACGAAGAAACUGUGAGAACAAACAGAAAUAUUGGAUGCUGUACAUCUGUCCUGAUCAUCACGGAAAUCUGGACUGACUGAACUGCACCCUUAUUUCUAAGUAUGGAUAUUGCACGACCAAAUGUGGACUUUCGGAGAGGAUUCACCACCUUUUUUACCAAUACUGGGUUGGAGAACCCUUGAGAUAAACAUGAGAGGAGUAUUCACAGAGAGAAGUGUUUGUUGAUGCACACAUUGCUGUUUUCCCCAGCUGCAAUCAAGGUACAUUUUCCUCUCCAGAAAUUCAUCAACAGCAAGGAUCAACAAGAAGCUGAAGCAUCCUGACAGAUGAAGGACAAUCCAUUCCUUGGCAUUGCAAUGGGUCCUCUCCUCAGGAACUGCCCUGACUCCAAGCAGCACCUUCACUGUGUAA